GCCUAUAUUUAUUAUGUACAACCUCAUAUGUUCUUUUAUUUUGAUUGUUUUGAAGUAUAAAGCUUGCUGGUGGCAGUUUACCACAGUGUGACUACUGGGAGCAGUGAAAUCAGCUGGAGAGAAGCCAUGUGUCUACAUUUUUCUCAGUAAAAUAAGCUGAAGAACACCAGCACCACCUGGGAGGAACAGAAUAGAACACCUGAGAGACACCACUGCAGAAAUAUUUAUGUGGAUUUGGGGCGAGGUGGAAGGCUGUGCUUCAGCAAUCAGGUUCAAUCCUGGGGAGGUCAGAAGCUACAGUUAGCAGAGGAGGAGACAUGCUAAGACGAGAAAGAUGAUGAAGCCCUUCUGUUUCUACCCCUUUGCAUUUAUUCAGCCCAAGAGCCCAGAUAAGAGCUAAAGGAGAGAUUGGAGGUGAUCUCUUUCUCACUCCUCUACAAUUACAAAAUCUGAGAGUCAAGAAGGUUUGGAAGGAGACUGCUGCAAAUAACUCUUCCGUGAGAAGUUGGGGGGUUUGCAUCAUGGAAUUUAUAUAGACAAUUUCUGCAAAUAUCCCUUCAAUGUCAAGCCAACAAAGUAAAAUGUCAAGGGCCUACAUCUUAAGAGGGGGCUAGUUUUUAGGAUAAUUUUUCUAACAGUCUUUUGAGAUUUAUUCCUGUUUUCAUUUUGAGCAAAAUGAUUUCAAAACAUGACAUUAAAAAGUAC
rnacentral:lncRNA from 1 species